rnacentral:rRNA from 1 species
ACCUACGGGGCGCAGCAGUGGGGAAUAUUGCCCAAUGGGGGGAACCCUGAUGCAGCGACGCCGCGUGGGUGAAGGAGUAUUUCGGUAUGUAAAGCCCUAUCAGCAGGGAAGAACAAUGACGGUACCUGACUAAGAAGCACCGGCUAAAUACGUGCCAGCAGCCGCGGGAAUACGUAUGGGGCAAGCGUUAUCCGGAUUUACUGGGUGUAAAGGGAGCGCAGGCGGCGCGGUAAGCAUGGUGGGAAAGCCCGCGGCCCAACCGCGGGACUGCACUGGGAACUGACUCGC